GUGAGGACAUAAAUGGCGUA
rnacentral:snRNA from 1 species